rnacentral:lncRNA from 1 species
GGAAGAAGCCACACAGAGCAUGUGGGCCCGGGUGAAGGAUGUGCAAGACAGGUUGGCUUGUGCAGAGAGCACUCUUGGGAACAAGGAGACAUUGGAGGGGCGAUUGUCACAGAUUCAGGACAUUCUCCUUAUGAAAGGUGAAGGAGAAGUAAAGUUGAAUCUGGCCAUUGGCAAAGGGGACCAGGCCUUAAGAAGCAGCAACAAGGAGGGGCAGCAGGCAAUUCAGGAUCAGCUGGAGAUGCUCAAAA